GAUGCCCUCUGGCGGCGUGCUUAACACAUGCAAGUCGAACGAAGCACUUUUAUUUGAUUUCUUCGGAAUGAAGAUUUUAGUGACUGAGUGGCGGACGGGUGAGUAACGCGUGGGUAACCUGCCUCAUACAGGGGGAUAACAGUUAGAAAUGACUGCUAAUACCGCAUAAGACCACAGCACCGCAUGGUGCAGGGGUAAAAACUCCGGUGGUAUGAGAUGGACCCGCGUCUGAUUAGGUAGUUGGUGGGGUAACGGCCUACCAAGCCGACGAUCAGUAGCCGACCUGAGAGGGUGACCGGCCACAUUGGGUCUGAGACACGGCCCAAACUCCUACGGGAGGCAGCAGUGGGGAAUAUUGCACAAUGGGGGAAACCCUGAUGCAGCGACGCCGCGUGAGCGAUGAAGUAUUUCGGUAUGUAAAGCUCUAUCAGCAGGGAAGAAAAUGACGGUACCUGACUAAGAAGCACCGGCUAAAUACGUGCCAGCAGCCGCGGUAAUACGUAUGGUGCAAGCGUUAUCCGGAUUUACUGGGUGUAAAGGGAGCGUAGACGGAGUGGCAAGUCUGAUGUGAAAACCCGGGGCUCAACCCCGGGACUGCAUUGGAAACUGUCAAUCUAGAGUACCGGAGAGGUAAGCGGAAUUCCUAGUGUAGCGGUGAAAUGCGUAGAUAUUAGGAGGAACACCAGUGGCGAAGGCGGCUUACUGGACGGUAACUGACGUUGAGGCUCGAAAGCGUGGGGAGCAAACAGGAUUACAUACCCUGGUAGUCCACGCCGUAAACGA
rnacentral:rRNA from 1 species